CCUGCCGCUGCCCCCGUAGGGCCCGCCCGGAACCAUGCGCAGCCCGGCAGGAUGCGCGGCUGGGCAGGAUGCGCGGUCCGGCAGGAUGCGCGGCUGGGCAGGAUGCGCUGCGCGCCCAGGGCAUUGUGGACCAUUGUGUAACAGGAAUGGUUCUCUCAGAACUGACUCGGGAAAUGGAUCUGGUGCAUGUCAGGAUGUCUGAAGUCUUGGGAAUAAAAGGUGACAACCAUGUUCUGGAAGCAUUUAUGACCAAAAAUGUAAGUUUGUGCUUGGGUUCUAUUGUGUAUGUUGUUUGUUUUGUCUUUAACAUGCUAUCAAGUUUGCUCUUUGCUAGAAAAAUGUUUUCUGUGAAUUUGAACUAUUUGAAAUAAGGGACAACCAUUUUUUGAAGGACCCAUAUCUUAUUUUCUGAAGGUACUGCAAGCCUCUAAUUGAACAGUUGCAGCUCAGUAUUUCCACCCUAGUGCCUGUGUCCCCUCUCAAAAUGGCUUAUGGGGGUAGAGCUGAGAUGUCCCAGCCUCUUGUUCAGUGACAAACUGGCACAAACAGCCCCCAUCCCUCCCUUCUCUUUCCUGCACCCUGUGUGGAAUUGCCUGUAAAAUUUUGUGGCAUUUCAAAGUGGGGAACUGACCAAAGCAAACUAAUCUUCCAUUGUUUUGGGAAAGUUUUCUUGGAUUGAUUUUUGUCCAAGAUCUGGCAAAUUUUUCUAUCUUAAAAAUGCAGGUUCUCAGAGGAGGAUCCUCAGGCCUCACACUGAAGGACAAGACGCAUCAUCAUCACCUGUCUUCACAUCUCUGGCAUUUGCAGAAUAACAUAGUAUUUGUUAUUUUGGCAGAGAAGUGCUGCAGUACUCUCUCUUAAGAAUAUUGCUGGACAAUUACUCUGGAGAACAUACCAUUCCUCUACAGCAACAGCAGCUUUCCUUGGCUGCCAGCAAAAUUACCAGGAUUUUGGUUUUUAUUACGUAUGGCCUUCAUGAUAUUUACUAGUUUCUCCUGACACAAAAAGAGUUUAAUCUAAAAUAAUUUUUUCUCUUGAAGCAAAACAAAAUGAUCCCUCUGAAAAACUGAAUAUACAAAAAAAAUCUGGGAGUCCCCAGGAGACAAUGUGGCCCAUGUGUGCCUGGAGAAAGAGAAACAAGUGUCUGACCUCUUCAUUUUGCAGUGAGGGAAUUGCUGUGUCUGGUCAUUUGCUUGCUGUCCUCUCAAUCUGGCUUACAGGACCUUUGAACACUCCCCGGAAACCUUGGCCUGCUGGACGCAGCUCUCUGCUGGUGUCACCAGGCUGGCUGUGACCUGCUGGGACAGUACUGAAAUAUCUGUGGAACACAAGGCAUAAACACUUUCCUUCCUCAAACCAGAAGCCGAGUGUUGUAUCUUGCCUUAGGAUAACAACAGUGCCCAUCCAACCCUGAUAUUUAUCUGGAGCAGUCUUUGAAGACAGGGUGUUGUUUGAAUUUGUCAGUCCCUGUGACUGCUCUUCUGUCAUUCCUACUGUUGCACUGGGGCGAGUGAUCUGGUCUGGGCAGUAUCCCUAAAGGUCCCAUGAAGUUCCCACGAUGUGAGAUUUCUCUGUGAAAGCCUCAGAGCCUGACCCGUCUGAACACGUGCAGAGAUGAGGCCUUUGCUGCCUUGUUCUGGUUUCUUUUCCUGUAUGUGAGGAUGAGGACGAGUCUGAGAAUUUCCUGCUCCCCCCACAGCUUGAUUUAAGAUACAAUUGUGUCCUCCAGCUGCUGAGCUACUUUAGACUACAUUGUCACCUGCUUCUUCGGGCACUAAAGACAAGAAGACUCUCAGAGGUAGAGACAUUUCACAGGAUGGACAGAGAUUGCUCCACUUCAUGCAGCAGAACCCAGAAGUUCUACACCAGAUGAUGUCAGUCCUAAUGAACACCAUCAUCUUUGGAGACUGAAGAAACCAAUGGCCUGUGUCAAGACUGCUGCUUAGACUCACACUUCUUAAUGAGAAAGUCACUCAGAGCAUGCUGGAGAGACGUGGCCAAAGCUCUGCACUGCAAAGGGGCCUCCAAUCCCAAGGGCGUGGAUCUAAUUUGACAAGGACUUUGGAAACAGAGAACUGACUGAUAAACCCUCUUGGAAAGUGCUGGCACCCUGUUAUUUGUUAGAGAGAUUUUUUACUCUUGUGAAAACUAUUUUUUAAGAUAUUUUCCACAUUUUUCUAUCUCUAGCCUAAAUGUAAGGAUUUAUAAUAGUGAAAACAAUGGAAAAUCAGCCUUACUUUGAAGAAUGUUUUCAGCCUUUCUUAUCAAAAUUUAUAAUCCUGUUGUUUUAGCUUUAUGAAACAGUGUAAAAAUAGUGUAUAACUAGAGAAAAAAAGGAUAUGCAUUCAUUCUGAAUUUGUGUCAGUUCAUGAUUCUCAGUUCUGUACAUAAUAGUAAAUAAUAUCUCAUCAGUUCAAACCUCUAAGCUCACUCUUAAGACAUAUUUGUUUGAAAAUGAGAUGAAAGCCAGUACAAACUUUAUAUGACACCUUUUCAAACUAUUUUUCUGCAAAAUGUUCUAUAUUUCUUUGCAGCACACAUGGUUAAUGACAAUGAGGACCACAAAGAAGACUGAAACAAACAUUUUUAGGCUAUAAGUGUAGCAAGAAAAUUGAAUGUUGCACAGAGCGGAAUGAGAGAGGAUGGAGCAAGACUUAGUGAAGUACUGAUGUGUUAUUUCACAAGUACACAUUUUCCAGGUCUUUAGAAUCAGCAAAAACAGAAGCACAGAAGAAAAUGGAGGUGUUAAAACCCUUCACAAAGCAUAAAGUUUAUCCAAAACUGCAGAAAAAAGAAAGAGACUUACCCUGGGGAGCAGUGGGUGUCCUGUGCUGGGCAGGAGGGGCUGGGGAGAUGCAAAAUGGAUUGAAGGAAGACCUAAUAAAAAUCAGAACCUCUUAAACCAUAACUCAGUGUAUUAUGUGGAAAAGCUAUUAUUUAAUGUGUAAUUACAAACUUGC